CAAACAGCUCAAAUUUGAAAUCUGGCGUCUUUGGCGUCCGAGUUGUAAUUUGCAGAGGGCGCUUUGGCAUUGGCAGCGGUCCAAGUUCCUUGGAACAGGACGUCACAGAGGGUGAGAAUCCCGUACGUGGUCGCUAGCCUUUACCGUGUAAAGCCCCUUCGACGAGUCGAGUUGUUUGGGAAUGCAGCUCUAAAUGGGAGGUAAAUUUCUUCUAAAGCUAAAUACUGGCCAGAGACCGAUAGCGCACAAGUAGA
rnacentral:rRNA from 1 species